CUGCUGCCUCCCGUAGGAGUCUGGUCCGUGUCUCAGUACCAGUGUGGGGGACCUUCCUCUCAGAACCCCUACGCAUCGUCGCCUUGGUGGGCCGUUACCCCGCCAACUAGCUAAUGCGACGCAUGACCAUCCGUAGCCGGAAUCGCUUCCUUUAAACCCGAGGAGAUGCCUCCUCGGGUUGUUACGCGGUAUUAGACGGAAUUUCUUCCGCUUAUCCCCCUGCUACGGGCAGGUUUCAUACGUGUUACUCACCCGUGCGCCGGUCGCCGGCCGGAG
rnacentral:rRNA from 1 species